UAGGGAAUCUUCGGCAAUGGACGAAAGUCUGACCGAGCAACGCCGCGUGAGUGAAGAAGGUUUUCGGAUCGUAAAACUCUGUUGUUAGAGAAGAACAAGGACGUUAGUAACUGAACGUCCCCUGACGGUAUCUAACCAGAAAGCCACGGCUAACUACGUGCCAGCAGCCGCGGUAAUACGUAGGUGGCAAGCGUUGUCCGGAUUUAUUGGGCGUAAAGCGAGCGCAGGCGGUUUCUUAAGUCUGAUGUGAAAGCCCCCGGCUCAACCGGGGAGGGUCAUUGGAAACUGGGAGACUUGAGUGCAGAAGAGGAGAGUGGAAUUCCAUGUGUAGCUGUGAAAUGCAUUGAUAUAUGGAGGAACACCGGUGGCGCAGGCGGCUCUCUGGUCUGUAACUGACGCUGAGGCUCGAAAGCGUGGGGAGCAAACAGG
rnacentral:rRNA from 1 species